rnacentral:lncRNA from 1 species
CACUAACAAUGAAAAGUAGACAUCAAAAGUGCUCUACAAGAGAGGUAGUAAUUAUAUUUACUGUCACUCAGAAAGCCCAUGUCAAUCAUUUCAGUCAGGUACUUAAGGGGCUCUUUGUCCUGAUAAAUAAAUACAUUUGGUUGGUAUCUUAGUUAGGGUGUUCAUUGCUGUGAAGAGAGACCAUGACCAAGUUCACAUGUAACUGGGGUUGGCUAUAGGUUCAUGGGUUCAGUCCAUUAUUAUCAUGGCAAGAAGCAUGGCAACAUCCACGUAGGCAUAUCGAGGGAGGAGCUGAGAGUUCUACAUCUUCAUCUGAAGGCAGCUAGUGGAAUACUGGCUUCCAGACAGCUAGGAGGAGGGUCUCAAAGCCCACCCACACAGUGACACAUUUCCUCCAACAAGGCAACACCCACUCCAAAAAGGCCACAUAUUCUAAUAGUGCCACUGUCUGGGCCAAAAUAUUCAAACCACCAGUUGAUAAAUGAAUUGUAGUCAUCUCAUUGUAAAUUAAGGGUGGUAGUUUCUUUAUGAUGAAUUAUGGUAAAUUAUACUUGUAAAACUACAUAUUAAAUUAUGUCAGAUGUUAGAGGACAUGUUAAAAUGCUAACUGUACCUCCCAUGUAUUAUUAGAAUAAAUUUAGAGCAUGAGUUAUAAUUAGAGUGAAUUUUUUAAAUUGCCUUGCCAACUUUUUUUGUGAGUUCUAUAUUUCUUUUUCAUUAUGCUUUACCUCAUGAAAUUUUUGUAAAGUCAUCAGAAACAUGUUAUUUAGAAGUGAAAAUAUUUCCUUCUAGCAAACAUAUUUUCAAUGAUUUACUUACUUGAAAAUUGGUUCACAAUUAAGUACUCAACAAUGAUCAGUAAUGGGAGGUUCAUCAUGAAAAGUAAAUGGAAACAAAUAUAUUGUGCAGCUACAAAUUUUAAAAUUGAAUGCUUGGUUCUAUGUAAAUAAAAUAGUAUCCAAUCAUAGACUUGAUGUGCUACCUUAUCAUUGGAAUGGAUAAACAUGUCUGGAAUAACACAUCACAAACAUGGGCAAUAGAUAGAUGAAAUCAAAUUAAACUGUAAAGCUUCUAUACAACAAAAGACAGUUAUCACGUGAACAGACAGCCUACAGAAUAGGAGAAAGUAUUUAUUGCUACUCAUCUGAAAAGGGAUUGAUAUAUAGAAUAUGUAAGGAACUACAAAAACUCAAUACCAAAAAAAAAAAAAGUCACCGUUAUUAAGUAUUAACCAUGACCUUCUGAAUAAGAAGGCAAAGCAGUUGAAGGAAAAUAAAGAUUAUUGAGAAUCAAAUAUCUCUAUGAAUUCCUCACAUUUUAAAACAUUGUAUCAUGAUGUUGUAGAACAUGGAAGUGUCUAAAGAGGACUAGAUUCCCCCCCCCCUCCUUAAGUAUUGAUGACUUCUUUUGUUCUCUGUAGCACUUGGAGCUAAUAUUAUUAGGGCAAGACCCUUCACAGCAAUGAUCAUACCCCAAUUACUGUAGUAGGAGAGCCAUACUUUGCUGAAAUGAUUAUACCCAGAGCUUUGUCAUGAUCCUUAUCCUCAGGUGAAUGGUGCAUGGGAGUAGUGUAUGUGGUCAAUAUUACCAAUAUUCUCAUUUCCUACCUAAUAUGGAGAUGUUAGGGGAAGGAAAAAUUGCCAUUCAUUUUAUGAAAGACAUUUCCUAACACAU